GCGGUGGAUGAUGUGGUUUAAUUCGAUGCAACGCGAAAACCUUACCCACCUUUGACAUGUAUGGAAGUUUCCAGAGAUGGAUUCGUGCUCGAAAGAGAGCCAUAACACAGGUGCUGCAUGGCUGUCGUCAGCUCGUGUCGUGAGAUGUUGGGUUAAGUCCCGCAACGAGCGCAACCCUUGUCAUUAGUUGCCAUCAUUUGGUUGGGCACUCUAAUGAGACUGCCGGUGACAAACCGGAGGAAGGUGGGGAUGACGUCAAGUCAUCAUGCCCCUUAUGACCUGGGCUACACACGUGCUACAAUGGUUGGUACAACGAGUUGCGAGUCGGUGACGGCGAGCUAAUCUCUUAAAGCCAAUCUCAGUUCGGAUUGUAGGCUGCAACUCGCCUACAUGAAGUCGGAAUCGCUAGUAAUCGCGGAUCAGCACGCCGCGGUGAAUACGUUCCCGGGCCUU
rnacentral:rRNA from 1 species